AACUUUCAGCAACGGAUCUCUUGGCUCUCGCAUCGAUGAAGAACGCAGCGAAAUGCGAUAAGUAAUGUGAAUUGCAGAAUUCAGUGAAUCAUUGAAUCUUUGAACGCACCUUGCGCCCUUUGGCUAUUCCGAAGGGCAUGCCUGUUUGAGUAUCA
rnacentral:rRNA from 1 species